rnacentral:antisense_RNA from 1 species
UGUGGGAGCGAGCCUGCUCGCGAAUGCAAUCUGUCAGUUGAUAUCUUUGUGACUGACACACUGCAAUCGCGAGCAGGCUCGCUCCCACA